AGAGUUUGAUCCUGGCUCAGGACGAACGCUGGCGGCGUGCCUAAUACAUGCAAGUAGAACGCUGAAGGAGGAGCUUGCUUCUCCGGAUGAGUUGCGAACGGGUGAGUAACCCGUAGGUAACCUGCCUGGUAGCGGGGGAUAACUAUUGGAAACGAUAGCUAAUACCGCAUAACAGUAGAUAUUGCAUGAUAUCUGCUUGAAAGGUGCAAAUGCAUCACUACCAGAUGGACCUGCGUUGUAUUAGCUAGUUGGUGAGGUAACGGCUCACCAAGGCGACGAUACAUAGCCGACCUGAGAGGGUGAUCGGCCACACUGGGACUGAGACACGGCCCAGACUCCUACGGGAGGCAGCAGUAGGGAAUCUUCGGCAAUGGACGGAAGUCUGACCGAGCAACGCCGCGUGAGUGAAGAAGGUUUUCGGAUCGUAAAGCUCUGUUGUAAGAGAAGAACGAGUGUGAGAGUGGAAAGUUCACACUGUGACGGUAGCUUACCAGAAAGGGACGGCUAACUACGUGCCAGCAGCCGCGGUAAUACGUAGGUCCCGAGCGUUGUCCGGAUUUAUUGGGCGUAAAGCGAGCGCAGGCGGUUUGAUAAGUCUGAAGUUAAAGGCUGUGGCUCAACCAUAGUUCGCUUUGGAAACUGUCAAACUUGAGUGCAGAAGGGGAGAGUGGAAUUCCAUGUGUAGCGGUGAAAUGCGUAGAUAUAUGGAGGAACACCGGUGGCGAAAGCGGCUCUCUGGUCUGUAACUGACGCUGAGGCUCGAAAGCGUGGGGAGCGAACAGGAUUAGAUACCCUGGUAGUCCACGCCGUAAACGAUGAGUGCUAGGUGUUGGAUCCUUUCCGGGAUUCAGUGCCGCAGCUAACGCAUUAAGCACUCCGCCUGGGGAGUACGACCGCAAGGUUGAAACUCAAAGGAAUUGACGGGGGCCCGCACAAGCGGUGGAGCAUGUGGUUUAAUUCGAAGCAACGCGAAGAACC
rnacentral:rRNA from 1 species